UACGAAGGGUGCAAGCGUUGCUCGGAAUUAUUGGGCGUAAAGGGUAGGUAGGUGGUGACAAAGUCCGGGGUGAAAUCCCUUUGCUCGAACAAAGGACGUGCCUUGGAAACUUUGAUCACUAGAGUAACUAGAGAGGUUCGUGGAAUUCCUGGUGUGAGCGGUGGAAAUGCGCAGAUAUCGGGAGGAACACCAAUGGCGAAGGCAGCUCGCUGGGACGGUACGUGACGCUGAGACGCGAAAGCGUGGGAGCGAA
rnacentral:rRNA from 1 species